AGUCACUGACAUUAGAUACCCCCGUAGUCCCAGCCGUAAACUAUGUGCGUUAGGUGUGUCGGUAACCACGCGUUACUGAUGCGCCGAAGAGAAAUCGUGAAACGCACCACCUGGGAAGUACGGUCGCAAGGCUGAAACUUAAAGGAAUUGGCGGGGAGCACCACAACAGGUGGAGCCUGCGGUUUAAUUGGAUUCAACGCCGGACAUCUCACCGGAUAAGACAGCUGAAUGAUUGUCAAUCUGAAGGUUUUACAUGACUAGCUG
rnacentral:rRNA from 1 species